GAUGAACGCUGGCGGCAUGCCUUACACAUGCAAGUCGAACGGCAGCGGGGACUUCGGUCCGCCGGCGAGUGGCGAACGGGUGAGUAAAGUAUCGGAACGUACCUUUCAGUGGGGGAGUAACUGUCCGAAAGGACAGCUAAUACCGCAUAUUCUGUGAGCAGGAAAGCAGGGGAGUCGCAAGACCUUGCGCUGAUUGAGCGGCCGAUAUCAGAUUAGCUAGUUGGUGAGGUAAAGGCUCACCAAGGCGACGAUCUGUAGCGGGUCUGAGAGGAUGAUCCGCCACACUGGAACUGAGACACGGUCCAGACUCCUACGGGAGGCAGCAGUGGGGAAUUUUGGACAAUGGGGGCGAACCCUGAUCCAGCCAUGCCGCGUGAGUGAAGAAGGCC
rnacentral:rRNA from 1 species